CUGUUCCUGUGUGGCUGCUGUGCUCCUUUAUCUUCCAGCAUCCCCUUUGACACCCAUGUCAAUCAAUCCCAGUAUUUCUGUCUUUAAUCCUUCUACACUCUGACUGGUGAGAGGAGACAUUUUGAUCUCUAUAUGUAUGAAUUCUGAAAAUUCAUUACUUAGAGCAACUCCAGGGCUUUUCUGUACUCCAGUCUCCUAUGGUGACUAGCUAGGGAUCCCAGUCAAAGCCCAGAUACAACAUACUGGAACCCAUAUCACAUCUGACCACUCAGCUCUGUUCCUUUCUAAGCCUCCCAAACACCAGAUGCCUGUACUGAUAAAGGAGGAUGACCGUUCCAUGUGCUUUCAGCUGCUGUCUUUAUGCCAUCCAUCAGGAUGUUUUCAAAGUCACACAACACAUGGACUCUGUUCUCCAGCAGUGCUGGGGAGGAAAUAGGGCAAGGGAACUUCUGCCCAGCUUUCUGGACACCUCCCCGCACCAGGAAAUGGUCUUUAGUGCCAUCAAAAGCAUUUACAGGAAAGGAAGGCAUCUCUGCAACAGGCAGUGUUGUAGCUCUGGGGAACCUCCAGAAAAAAUCUCUUCUCAGGAUGUGCCAUCUUCGAACCCCCAGAGGAAACCAAGUGGACUGUUUGGACACAUUUUACAAAAGUGGGGCAACUGCUGAGUGCUGGCCCCAGGGAUGUGAUGCUGAGUACUACUGCCUUGGAGGCCAUGAGAUGUGAAGGUGCUUCACAGGGAUGUAGUUGCAGGACUCUGUGGCAAACAGGGUCAUAUGUUAGGCAUCCUAAGAGUGAAGCACCCAAAUAAACAAUACUGGUCUCCAAGUAAGGUCUCUGAGGGACAGGAACCAAAAGUGCUCAUGGCAAAGGAUAUUGAACUUGAAGGCACACAAAGAAAAUGUUCUGUGCUGUGGGCUGCAAGACAAGACCCACGGUAUUGUUUUCCAGUUUCUUUCUCUCUUUUUGACUGUUCUUCUUGACUAUGCCAAUAAAAAAAACACCACUCCCUCCUCU